rnacentral:snRNA from 1 species
GUGCUCGCUCCGGCAGCACAUAUACUAAAAUUGGAAUGAUACAGAGAUUAGCAUGGCCCCUGCACAAGGAUGACAUGCAAAUUUGUGAAGCGUUCCAUAUUUUU